AUAAGGUCAAGCUAAAAAGAGCGCAGGGUGAAUGCCUUGGCACUGGGAGCCGAUGAAGGACGCGAUAAGCUGCGAAAAGCUGCGGGGAUCAGCAAGUAUGAAAUGAUCCGCAGAUGUCCGAAUGGAGCAAUCCGCCGGAAUAAAGCUCCGGCAUCAUACACUGAAUUCAUAGGUGUAUGAGGGGAACCGCCUGAACUGAAACAUCUAAGUAGGGCGAGGAAGAGAAAUCAACCGAGAUUCCGCUAGUAGUGGCGAGCGAACGCGGAAGAGGCUAAACCAAUAGUAGAAAUACCAUUGGGGUUUCGGACUGUACAAGGUAUCUUAAGAUCUAAUCGAAGUGUGUGGGAAAGCAUACCGGAGAGCGUGAGAGUCGCGUAGAUGAAAGAUCGAGAGAGCCGACAGGAUCCAAAGUACCACGGGACACGAGGAAUCCCGUGGGAAGACGGGGGGACCACCCUCCAAGCCUAAAUACUACCCAGUGACCGAUAGCGUAUAGUACUGUGAAGGAACGGUGAAAAGAACCCCGGGAGGGGAGUGAAAAAGAACCUGAAACCCUGUGCUUACAAGCACAUAGAGCACGUCAAAGUGUGAUAUGGUACUUUUUGUAGAACGGUCCGGCGAGCGUAUGUAAGGAGCAAGGUUAAGCACUUCUGGUGCGGAGCCAAAGGGAAACCGAGUCUGAAUAGGGCGAUCAGUUGCUUGCAUAGGGCCCGAAACCGGGUGACCUAUCCAUGUCCAGGUUGAAGUGGGAGUAAAAUCCCAUGGAGGACCGAACCGACCCCCGUUGAAAUGGUGGCGGAUGAGGUGUGGAUAGCGGAGAAAUUCCAAUCGAACUCGGAGAUAGCUGGUUCUCCCCGAAAUAGCUUUAGGGCUAGCGUUGUGAAUGAUUACCGGAGGUAAAGCACUGAAUGAUGGAGGGGCCGAGAGGUUACCAAAAUCUAUCAAACUAAGAAUGCCGGAUAAUUGAAUCACAGCAGUCAGACAGUGUGAGAUAAGUCUCAUUGUCAAAAGGGAAAAAGCCCAGACCCACAGCUAAGGUCCCAAAGGAAUGUUAAGUGGAGAAGGAUGUGGAGUUGCGAAAACAACCAGGAUGUUGGCUUAGAAGCAGCCACUCAUUUAAAGAGUGCGUAAUAGCUCACUGGUCGAGUGACUCUGCGCCGAAAAUGUAACGGGGCUAAACAUGACACCGAAGCUUGGGA
rnacentral:rRNA from 1 species